rnacentral:rRNA from 1 species
AUUGAACGCUGGCGGCAGGCCUAACACAUGCAAGUCGAACGAGUGGCGGACGGGUGCGUAAUGUAUGGGAAACUGCCCGAUGGAGGGGGAUAACUACUGGAAACAGUAGCUAAUACCGCAUACCAUCGGAUGUGCCCAGAUGGGAUUAGCUAGUAGGUGGGGUAACGGCUCACAUGGGCGACGAUCCCUAGCUGGUCUGAGAGGAUGACCAGCCACACGGGAACUGAGACAAGGUCCGAACUCCUACGGGGGGAAGCAGGGGGGAACAUUGCACAAUGGGCGCAGGCCUGAUGCAGCCCUGCCGCGUGUAUGAAGAGGGCCUUCGGGUUGUAAAGUACUUUCAGCGAGGAGGCGUUACUCGCAGAAGAAGCACCGGCUAACUCCGUGCCAGCAGCCGCGGUAAUUC